AGAAUGCACUGAGAACGUGACCGUUUAGAGGAGUUCAACGGUAUUUUGUCUUUUAUGUGAUACUGUUGUGAGUGUGGUGUUCAAGAUUGAACACAGGACCUCAUGCACAGCAGGUACCCUCUGUACCCUCGUUGACUGUCCUACAAGAUGAGACAUUACAGCAUCUCUAAUUUCCAAGUAUCCCCAUCUUGGUUCAAAGAAGAAACUGAGCAUCAAUGGAGUUGCUCCAGUUGUGGCAAGAUAGCCAGCCACUAUGGCCUUAAUUCAUCUACACACAAAAAUACUGCCCAGGAAAAGGACGGAAUAUGGGGAACAGUCGACCAAUAGCUCUGCCAAUACAGGAAUAAAGUUCAUUUACCCACUAUGGCUUCCAGUUCCACUGUAAUCUGGCAUUGGUCUUUUUUCUGCUUUUCACCUGAGAUUCUCUGGAUGAUAACCUGAAGCUCUUUGCUUGACAUAGUCCUUAUUUGGCUCAGUAUUGCCUGAGGCAAAGCAAUAAGGUUGAGCUUGGUCACUUUCCUAAAAAGUUAUCUGAAGAAUGGGCCAGCAUGAUAUAACCCAACAUGAAACACAUGUAAAACCUUCAUAGAGAUGAAUCCUGUGACCCCCAACUACAAGACUUUUGAUAUUUGAGCAUGAAGUGCUAUGACUGCAGGAAGAGACCUUGGAGGGAAAUUUACCAUAACGAGAAGAUCAUGAAACCGGUUAUGACUAGAUCUUGCUCAAUUUCAAAUUCUGUCGAUUACUAGUCCUGUGCUGUGGGACGGUUUGACAUUUCAGAGAUUCUGUUCUUUCGCUGUAAAGUGGAUAAAAUGGUGCCUAAUGUAGUAGAUGAUUGUGACAGCUCGGUGAUAAAGUGCCAAUUAAAUGCUUAGUGGAGUGUUUAACACGUGGCAAGUGUGCAAUAUACGCCAGGUAUCAUUUGACACUUCAUUUGCUACUUGGCUCUUGGGGCUCAACCUCAGUUUAUGACUGAGUGUGCUGCAUUAAAAACACAGGCAAAGACCAAUGGAAACUUCCUAGUGCUUGAGAAAGGACUGACACUGUGGUACAUCCUGUGACUCCAUGAGAAUUCUCAUUCUGUAUAUUUCAGAGCAUUUUCUGUAAGUCAAACGAUACCUUUUUUCUAAGCAGA
rnacentral:lncRNA from 1 species